rnacentral:misc_RNA from 1 species
UCCGAUUUGACCCCGGCAGUCUCCCAUGAGUCCCCAACCCGGCCGAAGCCGGUUGCUGGCAACAUGGAACAAGGGUUGCGCUCGUUGCGGGACUUAACCCAACAUCUCACGACACGAGCUGACUACAGCCAUGCAGCACCUGUCUCCGGUCCAGCCGAACUGAAGGGAUCCAUCUCUGGUUCCCGCGACCGGGAUGUCAAGGGUUGGUAAGGUUCUGCGCGUUGCGUCGAAUUAAACCACAUGCUCCACCGCUUGUGCGGGCCCCCGUCAAUUCCUUUGAGUUUUAAUCUUGCGACCGUACUCCCCAGGCGGAAUGCUUAAAGCGUUAGCUGCGCCACUAGUGAGUAAACCCACUAACGGCUGGCAUUCAUCGUUUACGGCGUGGACUAC